UAGUGACAGUUUGACUCCUCAACAGUCAUACUGGUGGCAGGAGCACAGAGCAGUGCCUCUUGAUUGCUGGUUCAGGGGGAAUGACCCCAAGCAUUUGAGGAGAGGAGAGCCUGUGGUCAGCUGUUUCGUUUUGGGGUUCUUCCUGGCCCUUAGAAGACCGAGAUGUGCCCGACUGCACAGAAGACGAAGUUGAAGUCACUCUUCUAGAAACUGCCUGGUGCAGAUGCCAUGGUGACAGAUAUGAAAAGGAUGGGCCUUUAGUGCAUUGCGAUGUGCAUUCUGGCCUCGUACUACCUUGUCUGUGAUGUAACUGAAGGAACAGACAGAGUAGUUUUCUUACUCUGCAGCUGGAGGGAGGAGUGGGGCAGCCUGCUGUAGUAAUAGUGCUGGUGACUUUCUAACCUACCUUUGUGUGGGUUUGCCUGUACAUUUGUGCACAUAUACAUGUGUGCAGGUCUGUGUGUGUACCAGAGGCUACCCUUAGGUGUUCUUCCUCAGGACUCUUGUAUACCUUGUUCAUUUGUUUGAGAAAUAAGCUAGGACCUGCCCGCCUCUACCUCCCUGGUACUAGGAUUGCAAGGAAGUACCACUAUACCUGGCUUUUACGUUUUGGUUUCUCGUUUGGUUGACUGGUUUGGUUUGGGGUUUUAACUUAGGUUCUGGGGGCUAAACUCUGGUCCUUGUGUUCACCGGCUGAGCCAUCUCCCCAGCCUCCGUACCACUCUCUUCAGAAGCAGCCAAGAGGAGGGACACGAGGCAACAAUUUUCUCCACAACCAACACCCACUAGAGGACUGUAGAGCAGAGCCUGCCACCACUUCCUUCCCAGAACCUUCUCAUUGUGUGGGAAGCGGGGACAAACGGGGAAGAUUAAAGAUGGAGAUCUUCCGGCCAGACCUAGAGGGCAGAGUGCAGAACAUGGCUCAGCUCACCAGACAUGACAUCUGGAGCCGGAUCCUCCUGGCGUCACCUAGACUGGAUGCCCUGAAGACAGACUUUGUGCUCCCUGCAAGGUACCUAGAUUGGAUGCCCUGAAGACAGACUUUGUGCUCCUUGCAAGCUCAUUCCAGUCCCCAGAGCGCCUGGAACCCUUGCCACCGAGAUUCGAGUGAAGAAUGAGAUAAGUCCUAAGAAUGUGGUUGACUGGGCUUGCAUCCCCUCACGGACAUAUACUGGACACCCAGCAGGAGACUUUGCCUGCUGAGCCCUCCCCAGGGUGGAUCCCACAAUGACAGGACAUUGCUGAUGGGAACCAGAGUGUCCCCCAACCCCUCAUUUCCCAACCGAACAUGGCUCAGCUCACCAGACAUGACAUCUGGGCCAAGAAGCCUGUUGCCCUGGGAGGCCAAUUCACACCUGUUACCACUGGCAAGAUUUGAAAAGGACCUGGUCACUUCCGGUAGUGGAUAACUACGUCCCCAAGAAAUUGAAGAGUUUAGGGACUUGCCCUUGCCUUGUGCAAUUAGACACAUUUUAUAUUUAUGAAUGAAUGUUGCAAAAAUAUGAGAUACUUGGGUCCUGGGUGAGGGUUUCUCAGGGGAAAAAAAACCAGAUACAGGACACACAGCCACCCUGCUCCCUCCCAUCCAGUCCCAUAGACCUCAAGCAGGCCUGGGUCAGCCCAUGGCCAUGACAGAGAAAAUAUUUUUCUCUGUUUAUAUCCAAGAGAGAAGCAGCUGUCUGUCCUUCUGUACCCUCCCGUCCCUGUCUUGCUCUGGAAAGGCAGGAGAAAAACCUUUGUUUCUUGGGAGAAGAUCCUGGAUUCUCACCCUAGCCUUUUGGAAUAUAAUAAGCCUCUCUCCAAAAGCUGUAAUUUGUCUCAAACUUUGGAACCAGAGGGAGGUCUCCAAGGUGUAGAACGGAAAUACCCGGGAGGUGUGGAAGUGGCUGUCCCCUCUCAUAACAUCUUAAGAACUUCACCUGAGAUGCUAGCCAGGGCUUUAACUACUUGGUCCUCUUAGGGAGUUAACUGAAAGUUUUAUUAUCCUUAUGGAUCAGAGAAAUAAAAUAUAGUAAAUGUAUGGGGUAAAAAAAAAAAAACCCACAUACAAUCUGAGCUUUAGGGAAAAUCAAGCUCAACGGCUGUUAGUGAGCCCCUCAGGUCUGUGUCCCCGAAGUAUUAAGACACUCUAAAGCGCUUUGGUUUACCAAAAUAUAAGACAAAACAAAAACCAUCAAACCAAAGUUGGACGGGGCAAACUAACAGAAGGAAAAGAGCCAAAGAGAAGGCACCAGACCCAGAGAGUCACUGGUUCCCACACUCGGAAGUCUCAUGAAAAUAAGAAAACCUGGAAGCCAUAAUGUAUAUGCAGAGGAAGUGGCUCAGAACAAAGGUUUUCACUGAGUUGCACAGUGUAGUUAGGAUUCUGCAGACGGAAAUACACAUCCUUAGGAUUGUCUGGGGGGGGGGGGUAAGAUGCCCCAGAAAGUCAGCUUUUUGGCUGACACGACUCUGACUCCAGAAAUUCCACUUUGUGGAAUCAUGAUGAAGAUGAAGCAUGAGGUCAAGAGGAGAUACAAGAAUUAGAGUUGCAGGAUGCCUGAGACUGGCAGACCGGAAAGCAAUACAAGAAAGAAAGCAAUGCAGCAGAGGUCUCAGAGAGGCAGGUCUCCAGAGAGCCUCACCCUGCCCCUCACCAAAAGCUACAACCGGAGUUUCCCGGCUUAUUUUUUAUUUCUGUAGCUUGUAAAGCUGGAAACAGUCAAUGGUGAUUUUUUUUUUCAUCUUCCCCAAUUUGGCCAGCUUGUGUCAGUGUUUUGGUCUUUCUUCCAGUUUUCCUUCGAGAAUGUGUCUAGGAACAGACCCGAGAGAACAAUUGACAGCAGACCUGAGUUCUCGGGGUGCUAUUGCAUUGUGCUAGCUUGUUCUUACACGGUCCUUUUAUUUCCUGGUCUGGAAUAUUUUGUCUACUUAAAUGAAAACUGCAAAACACAGCUCUUGUCCCAAAAGGAAUAAGAGAAUUUGUCUUGAAUCAAAUAUGAAAGAGCAAUGCACAGAAACUCACGUGGAAGUUGCCUCCAACAUGACAGUGUUCUCCUCCGAGGAAGAGAUUACAGGAACGUUCGUACAUAGAGAACAAAAAGUCAUAUAAACACAUUUGCCCAAUACGUUAGUGAGGACAUUAGGAGCACAGUAACAGAAAAGAAAGGAGCCCUCUUCAAAAGGACUCAGGUUGGGGUUUGGGGUUGGUGGGAGGUAGUGGUCUGACACGGUGAACACAUUGCAAAAGGUUUGCCUGAUGGUAAUAAUGCCAUCGGGUCAGAUACCGAGACUGGUCAUCGAUGGCUUUUAAGGGGGACUGAUGUUGUCUAGAGAUCAUUUUAGCAUUUGCCGUACAACAGCUCCAGUCUCCCGGCCUGGAUUUCUGAUUGGUCAGUUGCUACAGAGUCCUCCAUGUGAAUGUGGCCUUUUCAGAAAAUGACAAUUCACGGCAUGGGGCAAGAUGUGGGGACCCAGCAAUGUGGCCUUUGGAAGAGUGUGGACAAGAAGAGUUUAAACGCAGCCAAGGGGAGUAUGCACACCUAGCUCAGUGCCAACGAGAAGUCCGUGAGUUUAUGUUAAGGAAGAAACUGCCUCUGUGAGUGGACAGGGCGGGGCUGCCAUAGGAAGAAGUGGAUGCAUAUUUUUAGGAACUCAGAUUUAUUCACUUAGCAAAUGUACUCUGUGCCAGGUACUGUAUUCUUCCCAAGCAUAGUUGCAGGGCAGCAGCCCGGGUACCAGCGAAGUUGCUCUCCAGUUGCAAGGGGUGAGGUGUUAUAGUCAGACAAUGUGUCCCACGAUGUCAGGUGGCAGAAAUGCCUUGAUGAAAAACUAAAAGAGUAUCCGAAAGAUGGGGCUGCUAUUUUAAAUGGGGUGAUGAGGGAAGGCUUCUCUUUAAGGGACAAUAACUGAGCAGAGACCCGAAGAAAGAGGGAUGCCAAGUUCUAUGGCAGCAUGCACCAUUUUAUGGUUUGCUUCUGUUCUGUUCUCCAGACACUCGGGUUAAUAGCACAGCAAACCCAACCCUAGCAUGUUUAUGUGAUACUCUAGUGUGAGAAGACACCUGGGUCCAUAGCCUACCACCUUAGUUUCUCUGCAUUCCAAAAUAUAAUAAUGCAUAUAGUUGGUAAUCAAAAUUGAUAAAGAAAAAUGGAUUUAUUUACAGUUUGGACAAAAUGGGAAGAGACAAAGACUUUGAUUUUCUCCUGCAGCUCCCUAUAGUGUAUUUUCAUAUGUGCACUGAACACACACAGAAAGGAAGUGUGAGACUCAGGACCCUACCAGGUGCAAAUUUCUGGAGCCCCCACCACCCCCCACCCCCCACCACCCCCCCCCCCCCGGGAGAUCCUGGAGACACACUAAUUUUGCUUUAUUUCCUCCGGGUUUGAACGUACAAUGCUCCACCACCACAGAACAGAGGUGUGGCUACCAUCUGCCUUUUCUCUCCUGGAAAUGCACUAAACAUUGCUGUUUAUCACCUAGAACGGCACUGUUCCGAAACACAUAAGGUAUGGGAGAAAAACGUAAAAAGCCCAGCUCCUGCUUUCCUAUUGUGUGACCUUGACCCUGACUCCUCUGUCACACUGCCACUAAAACAAGGAAUAAUUUCACCUAUCCCACAGAAACAGUGCAUUUUAAGGACUUCAUGAAUGUCUUUAAAAUGAAUAGAAGUGUUAAAUCUAUAUCUGUUAUUAUUGCUACUAGAGAGUCGGUUCUUGUUGAACUUGGAGAAUUCUUUACCCCAAGUAUAUUGAGUAUAAUUGACAAAUAAAGCUUUCCUGUAUUUAAGACAC
rnacentral:lncRNA from 1 species